AUGAACGCUGGCGGCGUGCCUAAUACAUGCAAGUCGAGCGAACGGACGAGAAGCUUGCUUCUCUGAUGUUAGCGGCGGACGGGUGAGUAACACGUGGAUAACCUACCUAUAAGACUGGGAUAACUUCGGGAAACCGGAGCUAAUACCGGAUAAUAUUUUGAACCGCCUGGUUCAAAAGUGAAAGACGGUCUUGCUGUCACUUAUAGAUGGAUCCGCGCUGCAUUAGCUAGUUGGUAAGGUAACGGCUUACCAAGGCAACGAUGCAUAGCCGACCUGAGAGGGUGAUCGGCCACACUGGAACUGAGACACGGUCCAGACUCCUACGGGAGGCAGCAGUAGGGAAUCUUCCGCAAUGGGCGAAAGCCUGACGGAGCAACGCCGCGUGAGUGAUGAAGGUCUUCGGAUCGUAAAACUCUGUUAUUAGGGAAGAACAGAUGUGUAAGUAACUGUGCACAUCUUGACGGUACCUAAUCAGAAAGCCACGGCUAACUACGUG
rnacentral:rRNA from 1 species